rnacentral:rRNA from 1 species
GACGAACGCUGGCGGCGUGCUUAACACAUGCAAGUCGAACGAAGUGGCGGACGGGUGAGUAAAGCGUGAUCAACCUGCCCUUCAGAGGGGGAAAACAGUUGGAAACGACUGCUAAUACCGCAUACUGAAGGAGGGGAUUGCGUGUGAUUAGCUAGUUGGAGGGGUAACGGCCCACCAAGGCGAUGAUCAGGAGCCUGGGUGGGAGGAUGAACGGGCAAAAUUGGAACUGGGAAAGGCCCCGACUCCUACGGGAGGCAGCAGUGGGGAAUCUUCCGCAAUGGACGAAAGUCUGGCGGAGCAACGCCGCGUGGGUGAUGACGGCCUUCGGGGUUUAAAGCUCUGUUAAUCGGGACGCGGUACCGGAAUAGAAAGCCACGGCUAACUCCGUGCCAGCAGCCGCGGUAAUUC